rnacentral:lncRNA from 1 species
CCUCGGCCAGGCCCCGGCAGCAGAAGGGAGGCAGCUGUGCUGCAAACUACUGGAGUCCGGACAUGCAGGACCGCAGGCUGCAGGCUCCCAUUUGGCAGAAAGGACUUUUGCUGAAAUCCCCAGCGGGGCACUCGACCCCUCUAGUGGGUUGUGCCAUGCACUCCAUUGUCGCCGCCCCCGACCGGCCCCUGGCACCGUGUCCCUCCUACCUGAGCAGGCUCUGACUCCAGCCCUGGACACAGCUGGGGUGGCCACGGUGACUGCUGAGAAGAGGGGCUGUCCACACAGCCUGGUGGCUUGGAGCCCCGGGACCCCCACACCUGGGUCAGGGUGGGGCCGGAUGAGGUCUGAGCAGGCGCCCGACAGCCCCGUGUGCAGGAGACGCACAGCACUCACCGACCCCAGGCGUGACUACGUUUGAGGCAACCAUGAAGGCUUCAGACAUUCAAACUUCUUAAUAGACCAGGCGUGGUGGCUCACGCCUGGAAUCCCAGCACUUUGGGAGGCUGAGCUUUCCUCAUUGGCCGUCAUGCCUUGGAUCAUUAAGGACACUUUGGAACGGAGCUUUGCUAUUCUCUGAAGAUACACAAAAUCCUCCACUGCUCACGUCAUAAUCUAUUUACCAACUGUGGAAAAUUCCGCGGUGCCUGUGGUUUUUAAAGUGAUGCUGAAGCGAG